CCUACGGGAGGCAGCAGUGGGGAAUAUUGCACAAUGGGGGAAACCCUGAUGCAGCGACGCCGCGUGAGCGAUGAAGUAUUUCGGUAUGUAAAGCUCUAUCAGCAGGGAAGAAAAUGACGGUACCUGACUAAGAAGCCCCGGCUAACUACGUGCCAGCAGCCGCGGUAAUACGUAGGGGGCAAGCGUUAUCCGGAUUUACUGGGUGUAAAGGGAGCGUAGACGGCUUGGCAAGCCAGAUGUGAAAGGCUGGGGCUCAACCCCAGGACUGCAUUUGGAACUGUCAUGCUAGAGUGUCGGAGGGGCAGGCGGGAAUCCGAGGGGAGGGGGGGAAUG
rnacentral:rRNA from 1 species